rnacentral:rRNA from 1 species
AUUGAACGCUGGCGGCAGGCUUAACACAUGCAAGUCGAGCGGAUGAAGGGAGCUUGCUCCUGGAUUCAGCGGCGGACGGGUGAGUAAUGCCUAGGAAUCUGCCUGGUAGUGGGGGAUAACGUCCUGAAACGGGCGCUAAUACCGCAUACGUCCUGAGGGAGAAAGUGGGGGAUCUUCGGACCUCACGCUAUCAGAUGAGCCUAGGUCGGAUUAGCUAGUUGGUGGGGUAAAGGCCUACCAAGGCGACGAUCCGUAACUGGUCUGAGAGGAUGAUCAGUCACACUGGAACUGAGACACGGUCCAGACUCCUACGGGAGGCAGCAGUGGGGAAUAUUGGACAGUGGGCGAAAGCCUGAUCCAGCCAUGCCGCGUGUGUGAAGAAGGUCUUCGGAUUGUAAAGCACUUUAAGUUGGGAGGAAGGGCAGUAAGUUAAUACCUUGCUGUUUUGACGUUACCAACAGAAUAAGCACCGGCUAACUUCGUG